rnacentral:rRNA from 1 species
ACCAGACUCCUACGGGAGGCAGCAGUGGGGAAUAUUGCACAACGGGGGGAACCCUGAUGCAGCAACGCCGCGUGGGUGAAGAAGUACUCCGGUAUGUAAAGCCCUGUCAGCAGGGAAGAAAAUGACGGUACCUGACCAAGAAGCCCCGGCUAACUACGUGCCAGCAGCCGCGGUAAUACGUAGGGGGCAAGCGUUAUCCGGAUUUACUGGGUGUAAAGGGAGCGUAGACGGUUAUGUAAGUCUGGAGUGAAAGCCCGGGGCCCAACCCCGGGACUGCUUUGGAAACUGUGUAACUAGAGUACAGGAGGGGCAGGCGGAAUUCCUGGUGUAGCGGUGAAAUGCGUAGAUAUCAGGAGGAACACCGGCGGCGAAGGCGGCCUGCUGGACUGAAACUGACGUUGAGGCUCGAAAGCGUGGGGAGCAAACAGGAUUAGAUACCCUAGUA